rnacentral:lncRNA from 1 species
UGAGGGUCCGCGGCUUCAGUCUUGAAGUCAGUGAGACCAAGAACCCACCGAUUCCGGACACACUUUCAGAAUGUGACGAGGACCUGAGGGUCUGGAAAUAACUGGGAAAGAAAAGCCUUGUGGAAAGAAGACAUCUCCAGGUUUGUUUCCUUCUUGCACCCUGUAAAAGAAUGUGGAUCUUCCCUCAAAUAAGUAAAGGGAAAACAUGCUGCUUCUUCAAAGACUCCAAUUUCAGAUGGCAAAAUGCAUGGAAGCUGAGAUGGACCUUCUGGAGUUUUCGAUAAACCACUGUAGCUCAGUCAGAGGUCCAAUUAUGAUGAUACCCACACAGCCCGGUCCUCCCACAGCCUACAUCCAAUCCUCUGAGGAAGCUGAGUGGCACUGCCUUUAUUCACCACAGAUGCUACAGAAUCAGCAGGAAGGAAGACUGUGAAAAGGAAAAAUGCACUCUUUUAAGGUGAAGACAAAGUAAGAAGACAGGCCGUUUGUGAACGAAGAAGCAGUCCCUCACCAGACACCGGAUCUGCCAGUGCCUGGAUCUUGAAUCUGCUGGUGCCUUGAUCUUGGAUUUCCCAUUCUCCA